ncrna:Vibrio alginolyticus 12G01 Fluoride riboswitch
AAUGGGUUCGGUGAUGGGGUACCACCGGAAUCGAAAGAUUCGAACCGCUGUUAAAGCUAAUGACUCCUACAGAAAC